ensembl:ncRNA D1079.2 ncRNA
ACCGGAGAGAGUUUAAUUAUAUGCAAAUGCGAAGUGCACCAUCAAAUAAAGAAUUCGGUCAUUCAAAGGAGGGGCGCAUUGGCGAAAAAAACGGAGAGGAAAUGUUUUGUGCAUCCUUUCCGAUGGGAUCAAUGAGCG